GGGUUGUGAGGUUAAGCGACUAAGCGUACACGGUGGAUGCCCGGCAGUCAGAGGCGAUGAAGGACGUGCUAAUCUGCGAUAAGCGUCGGUGAGGUGAUAUGAACCGUUAUAACCGGCGAUUUCCGAAUGGGGAAACCCAGUGUGUUUCGACACACUAUCAUUAACUGAAUCCAUAGGUUAAUGAGGCGAACCGGGGAACUGAAACAUCUAAGUACCCCGAGGAAAAGAAAUCAACCGAGAUUCCCCAGUAGCGGCGAGCGAACGGGGAGGAGCCCAGAGCCUGAAUCAGUGUGUGUGUUAGUGGAAGCGUCUGGAAAGGCGCGCGAUACAGGGUGACAGCCCCGUACACAAAAAUGCACAUAUUGUGAGCUCGAUGAGUAGGGCGGGACACGUGGUAUCCUGUCUGAAUAUGGGGGACCAUCCUCCAAGGCUAAAUACUCCUGACUGACCGAUAGUGAACCAGUACCGUGAGGGAAAGGCGAAAAGAACCCCGGCGAGGGGAGUGAAAAAGAACCUGAAACCGUGUACGUACAAGCAGUGGGAGCCUCUUAAUGGGGUGACUGCGUACCUUUUGUAUAAUGGGUCAGCGACUUAUAUUCUGUAGCAAGGUUAACCGAAUAGGGGAGCCGAAGGGAAACCGAGUCUUAACUGGGCGUUAAGUUGCAGGGUAUAGACCCGAAACCCGGUGAUCUAGCCAUGGGCAGGUUGAAGGUUGGGUAACACUAACUGGAGGACCGAACCGACUAAUGUUGAAAAAUUAGCGGAUGACUUGUGGCUGGGGGUGAAAGGCCAAUCAAACCGGGAGAUAGCUGGUUCUCCCCGAAAGCUAUUUAGGUAGCGCCUCGUGAAUUCAUCUCCGGGGUAGAGCACUGUUUCGGCAAGGGGGUCAUCCCGACUUACCAACCCGAUGCAAACUGCGAAUACCGGAGAAUGUUAUCACGGGAGACACACGGCGGGUGCUAACGUCCGUCGUGAAGAGGGAAACAACCCAGACCGCCAGCUAAGGUCCCAAAGUCAUGGUUAAGUGGGAAACGAUGUGGGAAGGCCCAGACAGCCGUGGGAUGUUGGCUUAGAAGCAGCCAUCAUUUAAAGAAAGCGUAAUAGCUCACUGGUCGAGUCGGCCUGCGCGGAAGAUGUAACGGGGCUAAACCAUGCACCGAAGCUGCGGCAGCGACACUAUGUGUUGUUGGGUAGGGGAGCGUUCUGUAAGCCUGUGAAGGUGGCCUGUGAGGGUUGCUGGAGGUAUCAGAAGUGCGAAUGCUGACAUAAGUAACGAUAAAGCGGGUGAAAAGCCCGCUCGCCGGAAGACCAAGGGUUCCUGUCCAACGUUAAUCGGGGCAGGGUGAGUCGACCCCUAAGGCGAGGCCGAAAGGCGUAGUCGAUGGGAAACAGGUUAAUAUUCCUGUACUUGGUGUUACUGCGAAGGGGGACGGAGAAGGCUAUGUUGGCCGGGCGACGGUUGUCCCGGUUUAAGCGUGUAGGCUGGUUUUCCGUGCAAAUCCGGAAAACCAAGGCUGAGGCGUGAUGACGAGGCACUACGGUGCUGAAGCGACAAAUGCCCUGCUUCCGGAAAAGCCUCUAAGCAUCAGGUAACAUCAAAUCGUACCCCAAACCGACACAGGUGGUCAGGUAGAGAAUACCAAGGCGCUUGAGAGAACUCGGGUGAAGGAACUAGGCAAAAUGGUGCCGUAACUUCGGGAGAAGGCACGCUGAUAUGUAGGUGAAGCGACUUGCUCGUGGAGCUGAAAUCAGUCGAAGAUACCAGCUGGCUGCAACUGUUUAUUAAAAACACAGCACUGUGCAAACACGAAAGUGGACGUAUACGGUGUGACGCCUGCCCGGUGCCGGAAGGUUAAUUGAUGGGGUUAGCGGUAACGCGAAGCUCUUGAUCGAAGCCCCGGUAAACGGCGGCCGUAACUAUAACGGUCCUAAGGUAGCGAAAUUCCUUGUCGGGUAAGUUCCGACCUGCACGAAUGGCGUAAUGAUGGCGGGCUGUCUCCACCCGAGACUCAGUGAAAUUGAACUCGCUGUGAAGAUGCAGUGUACCCGCGGCAAGACGGAAAGACCCCGUGAACCUUUACUAUAGCUUGACACUGAACAUUGAGCCUUGAUGUGUAGGAUAGGUGGGAGGCUUUGAAGUGUGGACGCCAGUCUGCAUGGAGCCGACCUUGAAAUACCACCCUUUAAUGUUUGAUGUUCUAACGUUGGCCCGUAAUCCGGGUUGCGGACAGUGUCUGGUGGGUAGUUUGACUGGGGCGGUCUCCUCCUAAAGAGUAACGGAGGAGCACGAAGGUUGGCUAAUCUGGUCGGACAUCAGGAGGUUAGUGCAAUGGCAUAAGCCAGCUUGACUGCGAGCGUGACGGCGCGAGCAGGUGCGAAAGCAGGUCAUAGUGAUCCGGUGGUUCUGAAUGGAAGGGCCAUCGCUCAACGGAUAAAAGGUACUCCGGGGAUAACAGGCUGAUACCGCCCAAGAGUUCAUAUCGACGGCGGUGUUUGGCACCUCGAUGUCGGCUCAUCACAUCCUGGGGCUGAAGUAGGUCCCAAGGGUAUGGCUGUUCGCCAUUUAAAGUGGUACGCGAGCUGGGUUUAGAACGUCGUGAGACAGUUCGGUCCCUAUCUGCCGUGGGCGCUGGAGAACUGAGGGGGCUGCUCCUAGUACGAGAGGACCGGAGUGGACGCAUCACUGGUGUUCGGGUUGUCAUGCCAAUGGCACUGCCCGGUAGCUAAAUGCGGAAGAGAUAAGUGCUGAAAGCAUCUAAGCACGAAACUUGCCCCGAGAUGAGUUCUCCCUGACUCCUUGAGAGUCCUGAAGGAACGUUGAAGACGACGACGUUGAUAGGCCGGGUGUGUAAGCGCAGCGAUGCGUUGAGCUAACCGGUACUAAUGAACCGUGAGGCUUAACCUUACAACGCCGAAG
rnacentral:rRNA from 1 species